rnacentral:tRNA from 1 species
GAGACACUAGUAAAAUAUUACACUGCCUUGUCAAGGCAGAAUUGUAGGUUAAACUCCUGCGUGCCUUA